rnacentral:rRNA from 1 species
AACGAACGCUGGCGGCAUGCCUAACACAUGCAAGUCGAACGAGACCUUCGGGUCUAGUGGCUCACGGGUGCGUAACGCGUGGGAACCUUCCCUUAGGUUCGGAAUAACUCCCCGAAAGGGGUGCUAAUACCGGAUAAUGUCUUCGGACCAAAGAUUUAUCUCCUUUGUAUGGGCCCGCGUUGGAUUAGCUAGUUGGGAGGGUAAAAGCCUACCAAGGCGACGAUCCAUAGCUGGGCUGAGAGGAUGAUCAGCCACACUGGGACGGAGACACGGCCCAGACUCCUACGGGAGGCAGCAGUGGGGAAUAUUGGACAAUGGGCGAAAGCCUGAUCCAGCAAGGCCGCGUGAGUGAUGAAGGCCGUAGGGUUGUAAAGCUCUUUUACCCGGGAUGAUAAUGACAGUACCGGGAGAAUAAGCUCCGGCUAACUCCGUG